rnacentral:tRNA from 1 species
AAUUAGAAAGCGAAAAAUUGCAUUUAGUUUCGACCUAAAACUUUGGUUUUUAAAC